GUGCUCGCUUCGGCAGCACAUAUACUAAAAUUGGAAGGAUGCAGAGAAGAUUAGCAUGGCCCCUGUACAAGGAUGACACACAAAUUCAUGAAGCGUUCCAUAUUUAU
ensembl:snRNA U6 U6 spliceosomal RNA